rnacentral:rRNA from 1 species
AGAUUGAACGCUGGCGGCAGGCCUAACACAUGCAAGUCGAGCGGCAGCACGGGUACUUGUACCUGGUGGCGAGCGGCGGACGGGUGAGUAAUGCCUAGGAAUCUGCCUGAUAGUGGGGGAUAACGUUCGGAAACGGACGCUAAUACCGCAUACGUCCUACGGGAGAAAGUGGGGGAUCUUCGGACCUCACGCUAUCAGAUGAGCCUAGGUCGGAUUAGCUAGUUGGUAGGUAAAGCUACCAAGGCUACGAUCUGUAGCUGGUUUGAGAGGACGACCAGCCACACUGGGACUGAGACACGGCCCAGACUCCUACGGGAGGCAGCAGUGGGAAUUUUGGACAAGUGGGGAAACCUGAUCCAGCCAUCCCGCGUGUGCGAUGAAGGCCUUCGGGUUGUAAG